rnacentral:rRNA from 1 species
AACGAACGCUGGCGGCAGGCCUAACACAUGCAAGUCGAGCGAAGCCUUCGGGCUUAGCGGCGGACGGGUGAGUAACGCGUGGGAACGUGCCCUUUGGUACGGAAUAGCCCCGGGAAACUGGGAGUAAUACAGUAUGUGCCCAUAGGGGGAAAGAUUUAUCGCCAAAGGAUCGGCCCGCGUUGGAUUAGGUAGUUGGUGGGGUAAUGGCCUACCAAGCCGACGAUCCAUAGCCGGUUUGAGAGGAUGAUCAGCCACACUGGGACUGAGACACGGCCCAGACUCCUACGGGAGGCAGCAGUGGGGAAUCUUAGACAAUGGGGGAAACCCUGAUCUAGCCAUGCCGCGGGAUCGAUGAAGGCCUUAGGGUUGUAAAGAUCGUUCAGUGGGGAAGAUAAUGACUGUACCCACAGAAGAAGCCCCGGCUAACUUCGUGCCAGCCGCCGCCGUAAUAC